rnacentral:ncRNA from 1 species
CUGAGCCGUAUGAGGUAGGAAACUCUCAAGUACGGUUCUAAGGGAAGGAACAUCCUAUUCCGAC